ACCAGCGGUGAUAGCACGCUGAAUACACCAGUCCCCUUUGGAUCACUCAAGUUAAGUACCGUUGUGCAUGGUCACUAUCCGGAUGGGUGACUGACUAUCUGGGCAAUCGCAUGCUGCUGGCU
rnacentral:rRNA from 1 species